GCACGAGUCUAGUUAUAAAGGGGAUUCCGCAGAAGGAGGAGUGGGUCAGAUGGGGAAGGUAAAGAGAGAGUCUAUUGAGCCACUUGGCACGGGAUUAGUUCUGUGGCAGAAUCAGUCGAAGUUCCAAUGGAGUGAUCGGUAAGUCCUCACUGAAGGAAGUCAGUAGCAAACCAUGAGAGUCAGUCAUUUUCUAGGGAAUGUAUUUCUCUGAAGGAAGUCAAGUAUCUAUCUAGUACUACGUGAUCCAGUCAACUGAUUUUCUCACUCUUUCUAGGGUCCGACAACCCUAUGA
rnacentral:lncRNA from 1 species